CUUCAAGAGAACUGUGAGGUGUCUCCUGCAGCUCGCUGGCUCUUUGAUGCUAUUUGCAGGGUUCAAAGUCAUCUGGGCCCUCAGGAGAGGUUAUCUGAUUCUGGGCUGAUCAUCUGGACAGGUCCUUCAGUUUCCCUCCCAGAGACAACCACUGUUACCAGUU